CCUACGGGUGGCAGCAGUGGGGAAUAUUGCACAAUGGGGGAAACCCUGAUGCAGCGACGCCGCGUGAGUGAAGAAGUAAUGCGUUAUGUAAAGCUCUAGCAGCAGGGAAGAAAAUGACGGUACCUGAGGAAGAAGCCCCGGCUAACGACGUGCCAGCAGCCGCGGUAAGACGUAGGGGGCAAGCGUUAUCCGGAGUUACUGGGUGUAAAGGGAGCGUAGACGGCAGUGCAAGUCUGGAGUGAAAGGCGGGGGCUCAACCCCCGGACUGCUCUGGAAACGGUACGGCUGGAGUGCAGGAGAGGUAAGUGGACUUCCUCGUGUCGCGGUGCACUUCGUAGCUCUUAGGAGGAACACCAGUGGCGAAGGCGGCUUACUGGACUGUACCUGACGUUGAGGCUCGACCGCGUGGGGAGCACACAGGAUUAGAUCCCCGUGUAGUC
rnacentral:rRNA from 1 species